rnacentral:lncRNA from 1 species
GGGGGAGCCGCCCGGCCGUGAGGGGGAACCGCGCGGCCGUGAGGGGGAACGGCCCGGCCGUGAGGGGGAACCGCACGGCCGUGAGGGGGAACCGCGCGGCCGUGAGGGGGAACCGCCCGGCCGCGGCCCGCGGGCCCGGGAACGGGUGUGGGCACGGCACCGGGCACGGUCACAGCCACAGCCACAGCCCGCCGUGGUACAGCCCUGCCUUGAGCAACAACUCCUUGGUGUGAUUGAGUGCCAGUCACAGCUUUGGAAUAACAGAGACCUCGGGAAGCUGAGGUGCAGAAGUCACAUCUGUACCAACUUCUGCUUGCUUGCUGUGCACUCAGCAGAAAAGGACAGGAAUAAUCUUAAGCAGACAUUGAACACAGUUGGGACUGUUUGUGUUAUGGGACCAAUUCUUUGGCAUUUCUCUGCACUGAAUUUUGGAGAAUUCUGGUUACAGACCAGCAGUGUUUGAUAACAUAAAAUGUAAAUGCACAGAAAUCACCAGUGCUAACUCCAGAAUUGCUUAAUGGUACCUUUAAAGUAGUAUAUUUGUUGAGUUUUCCAUCUUCAGUUGUUCCAAUAAUAAACUACUGUAAGGUGGAGAAACGUGACCAGAGCAUAGGAGAACUCUGGGAUUAUUCACAGGCAGUACUUCCAUAAACCUUUCUCUAGGGAAGUACAUAUCAGACGUGUUCCCUUUUGACUUGUAACACUGUCUUUCAAAAUAGCAAAAUAUGGUAUGAUGAAUUAUAUAUUAUUAUUAUUAGAGAAUACAGACAGAAAAAAUAUAGAUCUAGUAAUCUCUUUCCUGUGAGGGGGACUACAUUCAGCAUUCCUGCCUCUGUUGUGGUUCAUAUCCCCCCUCUUGGGCCAGGCACAGUGUUACAUCAUGUUAUACUUGUAUUGCCACAGCAAUAAAGCACUUGGGAUAGACACUAGAGAGAAUCUGCUUUAUAAUCUGCAUCUCCUUCAAAGCCCUGUUGCCUGGUUUCUGAAAGGGCCUCAUCCCUCUAUGUAGGAUUUCUUUCCUUCUUUUAUAACCCUCUGAAUAUAACCCUAUAAGCUCCUCUGAAUAAAGGCUUCUUAGCUUUGCAGACACUAAGUAGACUCUUUGGUGGUAGGCUGAGUAUUGUAUUAUUAUUGCUGGACAUGACAUCAAAACAAAAAAAGGAAAAAAGAAAAAAAAAAAGGCAACAGGAAAAAUGACAUUUGAACCAGCGAUACGAUAAAAAAGACCUUCCUGAAAAGUAUUUUUGUCUAUUCUUUGCUAAACAAAUAAAAUCAUGCUUGAGGAUUCCAAGAUAUGCUUUUAAAGCAUUCUGUUUGAUGACUACCUUGGCUUUAUUGAUGAAAUUUAAUUUAUUGCAAAAUUAUAACUGACUCAAACC